rnacentral:lncRNA from 1 species
UAUAUGGAAAUAAUAGAAUAAUUUUAAAGAGCAAAUUCUUUUUAUUGUUUCAAUGAGGUAUAAUUGACAUACAAUAAGCUCUACAUACAUAGAGUGCACAAUUUAAGAGUUUUGGCUGGGUGCGGUAACUCAUGCUUGUAAUCCCGAGGCCGAGGAAGGCGGAUUGCUUGAGCCCAGGAGUUUGAAAGGAACCUGGGAAACAUAGCAAAACCCCAUCUCUACAGAAACUACAAAAAUUAUACUGGCACAGUGGAGUAUGACUGUAGUUCCAACUACUUGGCAGGAUGAGGUAGGGGUAUCGCUUGAGCUAGGAAGGCUGAGGUUGAGGUUGCAGUGAGCUGAGAUUGUGCCACUGCAUUCCAUCCUGGGUGACUGACAGAACAAGACCUGUCUCAAAAACAAAAUGCAUUUUGACAUACAUAUACACUUGUGAAACCAUCACCACAAUUAAGAUAGCAUCCACACAUCAUCUUGUUCAUUUGCAAUCCCUUACUCUCCUUCUCCUCUGCAGACAACCAUUGGUCUCCUUUCUGUCACUAUAGAUUAGCUUGUACUUACUAAAGUUUUACAGAAAUAGUAUCAUGCAUUUUAAAUUACUUUUUUAACACAACAGUUAUUUUGAGAUUUAUCCAUGUUGUCCACAUUUUAUUGUUUUCAUUGCUGAUUACUAGUAUUUCAUUCCAUAGAUAUAUUACAAUUUGUACUACUGAUAGAAUUUUGUUUUGUUUAGUUUUUGGCUAUUAUAAAUAAAGCUUCUAUGAAUAUAUGUAUGCAAGUUGGUGUGUGGACAUAUACUGUCAUUUCUCUCAGGUGAAUACUUACUUAAGAGUAGAAUGCUGGGUCAUAGCAUAUGUGUAUGUUUAACUUUUAUAUAAACUUCUAACCUGUUUUUACAAAGUGGUUGUAUUGAUUUAGAUUCCCAUCAGCAGUGUAUAAGAAUUCCAGUUGUUCCAGGUCCUUGCUAACACUUGCAAGGUGUGUGUAGGAUGUUUAUAGUAGUAUCUGAUUGUGGUUUUGAUUUGCAUUUACUGCAUACUGACAAAGUUGUGCAUUUUUUAUAGGCUUGUUGGCCACUCCUAUUCCUCUUUUGUUGAAGCAUUUGUUAGAUUUUUUGAAAAAUUUUAUUUUAUUUUUACUAAUAAUUGAGUUGAAGAGGUUUUUUUUAUAUUUUUUAAAUGAAAGUCCUUUGUUGGAUAUAUGUUUAGCAAAUAUUGUUUCUCAGUCUGUGACUUGUUUUAUCAUUUCUGUAAUAGUAUCUUUGAAAAUUGUUCUUAAAAAUUUUGAUUAAGUUUAAUGUGUUGAUUUUUUUUAUAGUUUGUUUUAGUUUUUUUUUUUUUUUUUUUUUUUUUUUUAGACGGAGUUUCACUCUUCUUGCCCAGGCUGGAGUACAAUGGUACAAUCUUGGCUCACUGCAACCUCUGCCUCCCAAGUUCAAGCGAUUCUCCUGCUUCAGCAUCCGGAGUAGCUGUGAUUACAAACGUGCCACUAUACCCGGGUAAUUUUGUAUUUUUUAGUAGAAAUGAGGUUUCUCCAUGUUGGUCAGGCUGGUCUCGAACUCCCGAUCUCAAGUGUCCUCCCACCUUGGCCUCCUAACUAGGAUUACAGGUGUGAGUUUUUUUUUAUAGUUUUUUAUAGCUGCCUCCUGGGCUCAAACAGAGCUUAUGGUCUUUUCUUAACAUUUCUUGAUGACGAGGAUGGGAUUUGAAGUGGCACCCUUGCUUUUUCCCAACACUAUCUGGACCAAUGCAUUUGCACCUGCAAGAACCCCUUGAGCUCACUUAUCUUCCUGGCUGCACCAGGGAGAAAUGAGGUAAGGCCCCUUGGACCCAAUAUCUUUCUUUUGUUCUUAGGAUGAGGUUUUUGGCACUUUAUUAUUUCAGUGAUUCUUCCCACCCAG